GGAGAUUGGAUCAUGGGGUCAGAUUUCCUCUUUGCUGUUCUCGUGAUAGUGAGGGAGUUCUCAUGUGAUCUGAUGAUUUGAAAGUGUGUGAAUCUACUUUU